UACGUAGGGUGCAAGCGUUAAUCGGAAUUACCGGGCGUAAAGCGUGCGCAGGCGGUUGUGCAAGACAGAUGUGAAAUCCCCGGGCUCAACCUGGGAAUUGCAUCCGAAACUGCUGUACUUGAGUACGAAAGAGGAUCGCGGAAUUCCCGGUGUAGAGGUGAAAUUCGUAGAUAUCGGGAGGAACACCAGUGGCGAAGGCGGCGAUCUGGGUCGAUACUGACGCUGAGGUGCGAAAGCAUGGGGAGCGAACAGG
rnacentral:rRNA from 1 species